rnacentral:rRNA from 1 species
UACGUAGGGUGUAAGCGUUAAUCGGAAUUACUGGGCGUAAAGCGUGCGCAGGCGGUUGUGUAAGACAGAUGUGAAAUCCCCGGGCUCAACCUGGGAACUGCAUUUGUGACUGCACAGCUAGAGUGUGGCAGAGGGGGGUGGAAUUCCAGGUGUAGCAGUGAAAUGCGUAGAGAUCUGGAGGAACACCGAUGGCGAAGGCAGCCCCCUGGGCUAACACUGACGCUCAUGCACGAAAGCGUGGGGAGCAAACAGG